UACAGAGGUCCCAAGCGUUGUUCGGAUUCAUUGGGCGUAAAGGGUGCGUAGGUGGCGCCGUAAGUCAGGUGUGAAAUCUCGGGGCUUAACUCCGAAACUGCAUUUGAUACUGCGGUGCUUGAGGACUGGAGAGGAGACUGGAAUUUACGGUGUAGCAGUGAAAUGCGUAGAGAUCGUAAGGAAGACCAGUGGCGAAGGCGGGUC
rnacentral:rRNA from 1 species